rnacentral:lncRNA from 1 species
CUGGCUCUAGCGGCGGUUGCUGGAACUCUUUCUGCACAUGCGCUUACCUGGCAGGCGGGAAGGGUGGCUGGGGAGCAAGAAGCUUGUGGGAACGUAAGGGAUUAAAUUGGAAUCCUGGGGUCGUGCAGCGAGGCGAUAGGGAAGGUCAGUGAUUCCUUACCCAGCCACGACUUUGUGUAGUUUUACCCCACGCGACGGUGCCUUUCAUCUUUCCAGAUCCAGUGUCGUGCCAGCUACCUGGGAAGGUUCCCUGGUUUCGCCCUUCUCAGAGUUCUGGGGGCCUCUGGUUUAACAUCACCUUGAGGGCCCCUGGUACGUCCCCCAAGGGUCCUCGGAUUCCUGAUGCUCUUGAGGGAACGCUUCUUACCAUUCUGCUGAUGAGCUUGAAUCCCGGAAGAACUCAGGUUGAGGCUUCAAAGCCUUACUCUACCUGGGGUAGCAGAAAAAUGCCUACAAACAACAGGGAAUAAAACGGUGUCAAGACAUCUAAAUUACAAGGAUGAUAACUGAGGUGUCUCCUAGUGACUUGGAAUACGCAAGUAUUUACUUACCUUAUCUAGAGAGAGAGCAGGUGGAGGUGGCAGGUAGAGGAAGGAAGAGGCAGAGGGAGAGAAAAUCUCAAGCAGGCUCCACACUGAGCAGAGAGCCCAAUGUGGAGUUUGAUCCCAGGACCCUGAGAUCAAGACCAGAGCUGAAACCAAGAGUUGGACACUCAACCAACGGAGCCACCCAGGUGCCCCUUCAUUAUGAUUUUCUUAGUAACAUUCUCUUUUCUCCUGCUUACUUUAUUAAGAAUAUAGUAUAUCUCAUAUAUAAUAUACAAAAUAUGUGUUAGUCAAUACUUACAUUAUCAGGAAGCCUUCUGAUCAACAGUAGUAGUUAAAUUUGGGGGGAAUUGAAAGUUGUAUGCACAUUUUCAACUGCAUGGGGGUUCAGUACCCCUAACCCCCACAUUAGGGACAAAUGUAUAUGAUCCAUGUUUUCAGUGGCCUUUAUGUAGUAAUUUAAUUUUAGAUUUAUUGGGCACAUAUGUUAGAUGACUAUAUAAGAAAAUAUCUUGAAGCCUAGCUGAGAGAAGAAUCUGUGGUGUAGCUUUUUCACAUACCUUCAGAAAAGGGUUCUAAAGAAAUAAAGAGAUGUCACACUCACAGUCUAAUUUUAGAAUGGUUGGAAUCAUCUUGCAACAAGAGACCAAGAUAUGUAUAAAACAUUUCAGGCAAGAUUUAACAUCAUGAGACAGUUUGGAUGCUUAUCACAAAGAAGUUGAAAGAAAAAAAUGAAGCCUCUAGUUUGAAUUGCAGAUUAUUUUUGGACAAUACAACCCUGGAAAUUAUUUCUGUCUAAGGAAUCCAAAACAAUUAUGCAAAUGAGGCUAGUACUUGCCAUUCUAUUUUGUUUAAGGUGAAUGGGGAUCAGUUCAACUAUUGUAAAUUUCCGUAAUAUCCACUGGCAGAAACAUCAUCACAUACAGGUUAAUGAGUUUAUUAAAAUGGAUGUUGGAAAAAUAAACAAUAUUUAUCUAUUAUUGAUAUGGGAUAGUCUCUCCUUAAUCAGUCUUUUAUUUUUUCAGUUUUAAUAUGAAGCUACUUUCUGACAUUUAAUGUUACCAAAUUGCUUCAGUUCCUGAGAGAUAUUAAUAUAACAUAAUAUAUUUUGUCAUUUCAGUAGAAGAUUCUGAGUAAGACCGGUCAGUUGAGAAGUCUGAAAGAAAUUAGUUCUAAGCUAUUUCCUCGUGACUGAAAUUGCAAAUGUCAGAUUCCAUUACAGGCAGCCAAGAGUAGAAGAGCUUCUCCCUCGCUUCAUCCCAGGGUAUCCCAGAAGCCUUUGUGCAGUGUUAAGCUUUAAAUAGCUUAAAACAGGACUAAGACUUUGGGACACUCUUAUCUUUAUUGAACGAACCCUGUGCUAACUACCGAAGACAUGAUUAUAAGCAGCACAGACAUACUAGCUGGUCUCAUGAAGCUUCUCAUCUCUUGAAGGUGUCAGACCAAUAAGUAAAUGCUUGCGAACAGCUACUGUGGAGAUGUUCCCAUUACUCUUGCUGCAUAACAAACUACAUGAGACUAUGCUUCAUGGACUCUGUGGGUCAAGAAUUCAGUCAGAGUGUGGCUGGGUGAUUCUUCUACUCCUGGAUCGACUGCAGUCACUCUGUGGGACUCAGCUGGUGGAUGGACUGGUCUAGAGGAUCCAAAUGGCCUUGCUCACAUGUUUGGUGGUGGGAGAGCCUAAAAGACUAGCUCACAUGGCACACACAACUGGAACACCCAUGCAUGGUGUUUCCAGCCUGGUGGUCUCUGGGUAACUGAAUUUCUUACAUAGGGACCAAGUACCCCCAGACCAUGUCUCAAGAAAAUUAGGUGGAAACUUCAUGACAUUUUUGGACCUAGCCUGGAAAGUCACACAAUAAAACUCACAGCAAUUUCUUGUUGGUUAACAAGGGAGUCAUAAGGUCAGCCUAGAUUCAAGGAGAAAGAAAUUGGAUUCUAUUUCUUGGUGUGGGAAUAGCAAAUUCACACUGUAGAAAACUUGUGAGAAGGGAGACACUAUUAUAGCCAUCUCUCUCUCUCUUUUUUUUUUUAAUUGUUAAAUAAUUUGUACUUAGAAUUAGCCAGCUGAACUAAGUUUAGAUGAUUCCACUUUUGUUGGCAACAUUCAAAGCACCAUAGUCAGGAGCUAAUUGAAUAGAUGCUUUAUUCUCUUCAUCAGGGUUGUUCAGAGUGUUGACCUUGACCCCAUCCAGGAUCAGUGUCAUAGAGCUUCUUCAUAGCCUGUUUGGUCUGGCACUUGUUGGUUUUGACAUCCACAAGGAAGAGAAGUGUGUUGUUGUCUUCUGUCUUCUUCAUGGCCGACUCAGUUGUCAGGGGGCUUGGUAUUGGCAUAGGGGUCAAACUUGUUUCUCCUGAGGUACUCUUCUAAGGCUAUUUGGGUUGUCUUUAGAAACAGUGUCUUAGGCUAUCAAAAGUUGGGUGAUAUGAAGAUCUUCUUUAUGACUAUCUUCAAAAAUACAACCUUCCAGAAAAAGAAAGAAAGAAAAAACAGUUGGAGGGAAAGAUUUUAUAGAACUAAAAGUAAGAAAGACAAUAGGAGGAAGACAAUGGAGACCUCCAGAGGCAGAGUAAAUACAUCUUGCAAAGGCCCUGUGGUGAAAAGGAAUUUGCCAAAUUUGAGAAACAAAACAAAACAAAAAACAGCUGGAGCUGGAGUUUGGAGAGUGAGGGAGAGGGUAAGUUUCAAAAAUCAGGUAGUAUCUUGCAAGCCAUGUUAAGAUGUCCAGACGCUCUAGUAAGAGCAGUGGGAACAAGAUGUUUCAGCAGAGAGUAGCAUGAUCUGAGGACUUGCGUGGAUCUUUCAUAAUAAAUUGGAGGGAUCAGUUCUGAUCCAGUUAGGAAAUGGUUGCAGUGUCCAUGCUGAUGAUGAGGGUGGCCUGAAUUAAUAUGGCAUACAGAUUUGAGUUUUAUUUAGAGACAUAAUUAAAAGAUCUUUCUGUGGAUUGAACAUAGGAGGAUAGGGAUUGUGAGAUGUAUUAGUUUCUGACAGCUGCUGUAACAAAUGUCGAAAGUGAAAUAAAAUGGAGUCAAUUUAUGUCAAGGGGUCUUAAAAUGGAGCCAGGAGGCCAUUAAGAAAAUGGGCCCUUUGCAUCCUCUUGCUGGGUAAAACCAUGAACUUUUGAACUGGGCCAAAUCGCAGCUAUUCCUAGGACUCUACAACUUGCUAUGGUAACAGAUUUCUGCUUGUGACAGCCUUAGCAACCAAGGUGUUUUCUUCCACCAACACCAAUCAAAAUCUUUAAAAAGAACGUAUACAAGCAUUCCAUACUGUCUUUAAAAACUCCAGGCUUCUAUUCUCUAAUGGGACACAACGUGGGUUACUACCUGAAUCUCUACUCCCCAAAUUAUAAUUCUGAGACCCCAAAUAAAUGCCCCUGUUUUUUUUAAAUGCCUCUGUUUUAUUUCAGCUCAGCCUCUUUUCUUGGUUUACACAAACUACCACAAAUUAAAUGGCUUAAAACAACAGAAACUUAUUUUCUCAUAGUUCUGGAGGCUAGACAUCUGAAAUCAAGAUGUCAGAGGGUCAUGCUUUC